CGGCUCAGUAACACGUCGACAACAUACCCUGAUGCCGGAGAUAACCUCGGGAAACUGAGGAUAAUAUCCGAUAGGUGUAGGAAACUGGAAUGUUCCAACACUGAAAGAUUCGUCACAACAGGAUUGGUCGGCGGCGGAUUAGGUCGUUGGCGGUGUAAUGGACCACCAAGCCGAAGAUCCGUAAGGGCCAUGAAAGUGGUUGCCCUGAGAGGGAAACUGAGACACAGUUCCCAGCCCUACGGGGUGCAGCAGUCGGGAAAACUUCGCAAUGCACGUAAGUGUGACGAGGGAACUCUCAGUGCUUAGGUUAUACCUAGGCUUUUGCCAAGACCAAGACUCUUGGCGAAUAAGUGGUGGGCAAGACUGGUGCCAGCCGCCGCGGUAACCCCAGCGCCACGAGUGGGAAUCGCUUUUAUUGGGUCUAAAGCAUCCGUAGCCGGUCUGUUACAUGUUCUGUGAAAUCGUGGCGCUUAACGUCACGGUGUGCAGAGCACACGGACAGACUUGGGACCAGGAAAAGUGUUCGGUAUUCCAGGGGGAGCGGUAAAAUGUGAUAAUCCUUGGAGGACCACCAAUGGCGAAGGCAGAACGCUAGAAUGGAUCCGACGGUGAGGGAUGAAAGCUAGGGGAGCGAUCCG
rnacentral:rRNA from 1 species